GACAGAGGGUGCAACCGUUGUUCGGAAUUACUGGGCGUAAAGCGCGUGUAGGCGGCUAUGCAAGUCGGGCGUGAAAUCCCACGGCUCAACCGUGGAAGUGCACUCGAAACUGCGUAGCUAGAGUCUCGGAGAGGAAGGUGGAAUACUUGGUGUAGAGGUGAAAUUCGUAGAUAUCAAGUGGAACACCGGUGGCGAAGGCGGCCUUCUGGACGAUGACUGACGCUGAGACGCGAAAGCGUGGGGAGCAAACAGG
rnacentral:rRNA from 1 species